CGGCACUCCGGAGAAUUCUGUUGCCGCAAGGCGGUGAACGGAUGCCGAAGGUGCAAGCGCUGAUCGCGUGUAUACGGUCGGAUCAGCGUAAAUCUCUCAGGCAAAAGGACGGAGGC
rnacentral:ncRNA from 1 species